GAACGCUAGCUACAGGCUUAACACAUGCAAGUCGAGGGGCAGCGGGAUUGAAGCUUGCUUCAAUUGCCGGCGGACCGGCGCGACGGGUGAGUAACGCGUAUCCAACCUUCCGUACACUCAGGGAUAGCCUUUCGAAAGAAAGAUUAAUACCCUGAUGGUAUGAUGAGAUUGCAUGAUAGCAUCAUUAAAGAUUUAUCGGUGUACGAUGGGGAUGCGUUCCAUUAGGUAGUAGGCGGGGUAACGGCCCACCUAGCCGACGAUGGAUAGGGGUUCUGAGAGGAAGGUCCCCCACAUUGGAACUGAGACACGGUCCAAACUCCUACGGGAGGCAGCAGUGAGGAAUAUUGGUCAAUGGACGAGAGUCUGAACCAGCCAAGUAGCGUGCAGGAUGACGGCCCUAUGGGUUGUAAACUGCUUUUAUAAGGGAAUAAAGUGAGUCUCGUGAGACUUUUUGCAUGUACCUUAUGAAUAAGGACCGGCUAAUUCCGUG
rnacentral:rRNA from 1 species